AUGGAUUUUGAGUUCCUGGAGCGUAUACUUGAUGGAAGAGAGAAACCGACAAAUCUAUCAUUUGCACUUUUGAAGCAUAUCACAGAAAAUUUCUCUGACGAUCGAGAAAUUGGCCAUGGUGGAUUUGCAACGGUUUAUAAGGGAGUGCUCCCAAAUGAAAGUGUUGCUGUAAAGAGGAUAAGGAACGGCUAUACAAUCAAUGAGACCUUUUUUUAUCGAGAAGUUGACAGCCUGUUGAACAUUGAACAUAAAAAUGUCGUACGGUUUCUUGGCUUUUGUGCUAGCACAGACCAGAUAGCCAUACCAAUUGGAGGAUCGAAAGAACAUAUUUAUGCUGAGGUACGAGAAAGAUUACUCUGUUUUGAGUAUAUAAGCAAUGGAAGCCUAAAAAGGUAUAUCACAGAUGAAUUAAGGGGACUUGAAUGGAAUACACGUUAUGAAAUAAUUAGAGGCAUUUGUGAAGGUUUGCAUCAUCUGCACAAGGAAAAGCAGAUAUAUCAUAUGGAUCUGAAACCUGAGAAUAUACUACUUGAUAAGGAUAUGGUGCCGAAAAUAACAGAUUUUGGUUUAUCGAGACUUGAUGAGAAGUCAAAAACCAUGAGUGAAGACCGUCAUGGAUCACCCGGAUAUUGUGCUCCAGAAUACCUACAUCGGGGAAAGAUGUCAUUCAAAUCAGACAUGUAUAGUUUAGGCGUUAUUAUCAUGGAAUUACUGACAGGAGAAAAGGCAAUCCACAGUAAUAAUAACAAUGUGCUUAGGAGAUGGAGGCAUAGAUGGAAGAAAACAGGGAAGGAAACACUGUUGGUUUACGAACAAGUAGCAAAAUGCGUUGAAAUUGGGUUACUCUGCCUGGAAAUUGACCCAUCCAAACGGCCUUUUAUAUGGGAUAUCAUACAUGCUAUCAGAGAAAUGGAAGGCGUUAAUGGGACAAUCAGCAAUCACUCUGAAUAUACGUUUGGACAGUUAAACCCUUACUCGAAGGACGAUAUGCUUGGAAUUGAGCCGCUCGAUCUACAUUUUCCUUUCCAACUUAACAAAAAGUCGUCUUGCACCUUUCAACUAACCAAUGAAACAGACUCUUACAUUGCCUUCAACGUCGAACAUAUGAACCCCCUGUCAUACUGUGCACUGCCACAGAAAGGCAUUAUACCGCCACGAUCCAAGUGUAAUGUCGAAAUAACAAUGGAACCACAGGGCAAGGCACUGAGAGAUCGUACCAGCGAAUUUACUGUGUGGAGCACCAAAGUUAAUGAUGGCCUUACCAUUGAGGAUAUAACUACAAGCAUGUUCAUUCAAGAGGCAACGAAUGUUGUGGAUGAGGUGAAUUUGGAUGUGGUUUUUGAUGCCAGUGAGGCAUGUAUGGUUGCUGGAAGAACGCCCGAUGUUAAACCAAGAAUAACGGAUGGAUGUGAAAAGUUGAAGAACUGGAAGCUGGUCGACAUUUUUGAUCCAGGACAUCUUCAGGCAUGGCAUUGUCCAGAUUCAGCAACAUAUCCAACGAAAGUUGUCCGUUUGUUAUAUACAAAUUAUGGGACUGCACUUUUAUCUCUCGGUUCGGAUGGUGUUCAUAAGCUGUGGAAAUGGAAGCGCAGUGACAGGAAUCAUAAACUCAAGUCUACUGCAUCUGUUUCGCCUCACCUGUGGCAACCAGAAAGUGGGCUUGUUAUGGUAAAUUACGCAAGUGAUGGCAUCCCGAAAGAAAAACCUGCCUGCAUUGUGGUGUCCAAAAAUGACUUCUAUGUAGUGUCUGCAUCUGGUGGCGAAAUCUCACUAUACAAUAUGAGGACGUUCAAGGUCAUGGCUACGUUCAUGGCACCUCCACCUGCUGCGACUUUCCUCGCAUUCUACCCACACAACAAUAAUAUUAUUGCUAUAGGACUGGAGGACUCGACGAUUCAAAUCUACGAUAUCCAUUCUGAUGAGGUCAAAAGCAAGCUCAAGGGUCAUCAAAAAAAGAUUACUGGGCUGGCAUUUUCUCUAUCAAUGAAUGUUCUUGUAUCUUCAGGUGCUGAUGCUCAGCUAUGCAUCUGGAGCAUUGAUGGUUGGGACAAGAAGAAAUCAAAAUAUAUUCAACCCCCGGCAAAUCAUUCCCGUGCUUUAGUUGGCGAUACAAGUGUGCAGUUUCACAAUGACCAAACACAUCUUCUGGUAGUUCAACAGAGCCAAUUGUCAAUCUAUGAUGAAAAUCUUGAGUGCUUGCGCUCGUGGAACCCAAGAGAUGCACUGACAGCUCCAGUUUCGAGUGCAAUAUACUCUUGUGAUGGUCUCCUGGUUUAUGCUGGUUUCUGUGAUGGUGCUAUUGGAGUAUUUGAAACAGGGUCUCUUAGGUUGCGUUGCAGGAUUUUACUUUCUGCUUAUGUGCCUUCUUCAAUAUCUAGCGGGGGAAGUGUGUACCCGAUGGUUGUAGCCGCACAUCCCUUGGAGCCUAACCAGAUUGCAGUUGGCAUGAGUGACGGGGAAGUUCAUGUGCUGGAGCCACUGAAAGCGGACCGAAAGUGGGGAGUUGCGCAUCCCCAGGAUAACGGAGCCCACCCAAACUUUGGAGACUUAUUUGAUGAUUUUUUUCUGGAGGAUUUUUUUAACGAGGUGUAA
rnacentral:rRNA from 1 species